rnacentral:rRNA from 1 species
GAUACUGAAACAACCAAGGAGGAGGAGGAGGAGGAGGAAAAAGAGGUUGCCGUAGUUGAGGAGAAGGAGGAGGAU